GACGAACGCUGGCGGCGUGCUUAACACAUGCAAGUCGAACGGAAAGGCCCCUUUGGGGUUACUCUAGUGGCGAACGGGUGCGUAACACGUGAGUAACCUGCCCUUUACUUCGUGAUAACUUCAGGAAACUGGGGCUAAUACCGGAUAGAAAUCCUUGCUGCAUGGUGGGGGUUGGAAAGCUUCUGCGGUUUUGGAUGGACUCGCGGGUUAUUAGCUUGUUGGUGGGGUAGUGGGUUACCAAGGCUUUUACGGGUAGCCGGCCUGAGAGUGUGACCGGCCACACUGAGACUUAGAGAAGGCACAGACGCCGACUAUAGGAAGCAGGGGGGAAGAUUGAACAAGGGGCGCAAGCCGGAUGCAGAAACGCCUCGGGCUGUAUGACGGCCUUCGGGUUGUAAAACGCCUUCAGCAUGAGCCAAGCUUGUUGUGACGGUACCUGCAGAAUAAGCACCGGCUAACUACGUG
rnacentral:rRNA from 1 species